rnacentral:rRNA from 1 species
GACGAACGCUGGCGGCGUGCCUAAUACAUGCAAGUAGGACGCAGUUGCGAACGGGUGAGUAACGCGUAGGUAACUACCUAUUAGAGGGGGAUAACUAUUGGAAACGAUAGCUAAUACCGCAUACUAGUAGAUGGACCUGCGUUGUAUUAUCUAGUAGGUAGGGUAAUGGCCUACCUAGGCAACGAUACAUAGCCGACCGGAGAGGGUGAUCCGCCAAACCGGGACUUGGAACCGGCCCAGACUCCUACGGGAUGCAGCAGUAGGGAAGCUUCGGCAAUGUGGGGAACCCGGACCGAGCAACGCCGCGGGAGUGAAGAAGGUUUUCGGAUCGUAAAGCUCUGUUGUUAAGGAAGCGGUACUUAACCAGAAAGGGACGGCUAACUACGUGCCAGCAGCCGCGGUAAUAC